CGUUAAAGAUGGCCCUGGUGGUAGUCGAGACCACUAUGGAAAUAAUUUUGGCAUGAGGACUUCGUAGGUUCCUGGACAACUUGGUCUGGGGUUUUGAACCACUUUGCAACCCGCCAGGAGAGCAUUUUUUGGAGGGAAGGUUCCUGAGAAUAAGGGAAACAAACGCUCCCUGAGAACCAGGUGGAGCACCCCGUAUUGCAGACACAGGAGCUCCCAAAAGUUGACCAGCAAAAGCGCCAAACGCCUUGGAACUAUUUUGGGCAUAGAACCUCGUGUGCGACCGGUCUGAACUUUGACACGUUUUUAUUAUGUUUUGGGGUACUUUUAUGUUUUUAUAUUUUUGUGUUUGUGUCUCUGUUCCUGGGAGAUAAUCAGCUUACCGGUCU